rnacentral:rRNA from 1 species
AUUGAACGCUGGCGGCAUGCCUUACACAUGCAAGUCGAACGGCAGCACGGGUGCUUGCACCUGGUGGCGAGUGGCGAACGGGUGAGUAAUAUAUCGGAACGUACCUUAUUGUGGGGGAUAACGCAGCGAAAGCUGUGCUAAUACCGCAUAAUCCCUAAGGGGGAAAGCGGGGGACCGUAAGGCCUCGCGCAAUUAGAGCGGCCGAUACCUGAUUAGCUAGUUGGUGAGGUAAAGGCUCACCAAGGCAACGAUCAGUAGCUGGUCUGAGAGGACGAUCCGCAACACUGGGACUGAGACGCGGCCCAGACUCCUACUGGAGGCAGCAGUGGGGAAUUUUGGACGAUGGGGGCAACCCUGAUCCAGCAAUGCCGCGUGAGUGAAGAAGGCCUUCGGGUUGUAAAGCUCUUUUGUCAGGGAAGAAACAGCAGCUCUAACACAGUUUGCGAAUGACGGUACCUGAAGAAUAAGCACCGGCUAACUACGUGCCAGCCGCCGCGGUAA